rnacentral:rRNA from 1 species
CGAACGGGUGAGUAAUGCGUGACCAACCUGCCCCAUGCUCCAGAAUAGCUCUUGGAAACGGGUGGUAAUGCUGGAUGCUCCAACUUGACGCAUGUCUUGUUGGGAAAGUGUUUAGUGGCAUGGGAUGGGGUCGCGUCCUAUCAGCUUGUAGGCCGGGGUAAUGGCCCACCUAGGCUUCGACGGGUAGCCGGCCUGAGAGGGCGGACGGCCACAUUGGGACUGAGAUACGGCCCAGACUCCUACGGGAGGCAGCAGUC